CAGCCGCCGCGGGAAUACAGAGGGUGCAAGCGUUAAUCGGAAUUACUGGGCGUAAAGCGCGCGUAGGUGGUUUGUUAAGUUGGAUGUGAAAUCCCGGGCUCAACCUGGGAACUGCAUCCAAAACUGGCAAGCUAGAGUAUGGUAGAGGGUGGUGGAAUUUCCUGUGUAGCGGUGAAAUGCGUAGAUAUAGGAAGGAACACCAGUGGCGAAGGCGACCACCUGGACUGAUACUGACACUGAGGUGCGAAAGCGUGGGGAGCAAACAGGAUUAGAUACCCCCGUAGUCCCUGUCUCUUAUACA
rnacentral:rRNA from 1 species